UAAUCGUGUCCCUCUUUCCAGCUGCCAAAGAAGUGGCUUCUGAUGGCACAGCUGAUCAGGCACUGUUUCCCCAUCUUUACAACAAGAUGUGUGGUGUGCUUGAAGACAGCGGUGCACGUGCACUCAAUUCGUUUUGUGGUGACAAAGCAGCUUCUUCAAGUCUAGUCAACAGCCUCCAUCAGCUUGAAAAAGUUUGUGAGGGUGUUGAUAGGAUCUUGAGAGUCCAAGAGAACGGCACCACCUCCAAAGAGGAAGUGGUUGAUGCCAGUGUCGAAGAAGCCACACCUUCAGAAGAUGCUGUCACGGAGGCAGUGAAUGGCGACCUGCCUUCGACUGUCAAGCCGGAGGACAAAAUGGAUGUGGAAGGUUGAUGUUUGGGAUGAAAACUAUAUGAGAACCCCUUUGUUUUAGUUGCUAAACAACAGGCUCUAGUUUACAUCGUUGUAACUCUUAAGCUAGGCACCUAGGUCUAAUGACCUCCAGACCGAUCUCUAAGUUAUCAAUUUUUCCUUAGCUCCUGUCAUUUAGGCUUGUAUUAUAUUUGCAAGCUCGCUGCUUAUUGUUUUACUGUUCCUCCACACCGGAGGUCAGAGUGUGACGGUGAUGGAUGGGCAAUAGAUAUCUGUUUGGUGAUGAACAACCAAACAUGCCCUCUGUGGACGAAAAGGAAUUACCGAUUUGAGGAGGAGCGGAAUGCAAAGAUGACAAACUUUAUUCA